rnacentral:rRNA from 1 species
AUGGAUAAGGCUUCCCUGGUUCUCCUGAGUCUCGUCGUUCCCUUGGUUCUUCUUCUUCUGCCGCUCUCGCGCCCGGCGUCGGUGGUGACCCAUCUCCCCGGCUUCCAUGGCCGCCUUCCCUUCCGCCUCGAGACCGGGUACGUCGGCGUGGACGAGGAGACGGGAGCGGAGCUCUUCUACUACUUCGUGGAGUCAGAGAGGAGCCCCGACACGGACCCGGUGAUCCUGUGGAUGACGGGUGGGCCCUUCUGCUCUGGCAUGGUUUUCUUCGAAGUUGGUCCUAUGAAAUUUGUGUUGGCACCUUAUAAUGGUAGUUUGCCACAAUUGGCCUAUAAUCCCUAUUCAUGGUCCAAGACAACAAGCAUCAUCUUGUUGGAUUCACCAGUUGGUACUGGUUUCUCGUACGCUCGUGACGUGGAAGGUUAUCACGAUAUUGGGGAUUUCUCCUUUUCUAUGCAUGUCUUAAUAUUUCUCAACAAGUGGUUUACCGAUCACCCACACUACCAAUCCAAUCCUUUCUUUGUUGGAGGAAGUUCAUAUGCUGGAAAGAUGUCUCCAAUUAUCGCACAACACAUUUCGCAAGAAAUCGAACUGGGGAAGCAACCCAAGAUUAAUCUCAAGGGCUAUGUAGUCGGCAACCCUGUUACAGGCUCAGAUUAUGAUGACAAUUUCAGAGUACCAUAUGCUCAUGGUGUUGGGAUUAUAUCCGAUCAACUAUAUGAGGCUGCAAUUCGGAAUUGUAAAGGAAGCUAUAUAAGACCGACAGACAAAAUGUGUGCCAGGGUGCUAAACACUUUCCAAAAUCUCGUGUCUGAAAUUGAUGUAUCACAAAUCCUGGGUGUCAAUUGUAUAAGGGGUAUGUUAACACAUAGAUUUCUAUCAGAAGAAUACAUUCAACUAAGUGACCCGUCUCCCGAGCAACCUACCUUAGAUUGUUUUUCAUACCGUUACUACCUAUGUAAUAUUUGGGCGAACGACGAUUCCACGAGAGAAGCUCUUGGGGUGAAGCGGGGAACAAUCGGAGAGUUUGUAAGAUGCAAGAAAAGUAUCCCAUACACAUCCGAGGUCCCCAGCAGCAUAAAGUACCAUUUCAACCUCACAAGCAGGGGCUAUCGUUCGCUUGUGUUUAGCGGAGACCAUGAUCUUGUGAUACCAUUUUUGAGCACGCAUGCGUGGAUUAGAUCCUUCAACUUCUCCGUAGUCGAUGAUUGGAGAGCAUGGCAUCUUGAUGGGCAGGUUGCAGGAUUUACAAUCACAUAUGCCAACUAUAUGACAUUUGUGACAAUAAAGGGUGGUGGCCACGUAUCCAUAGAACACCGACCUAAGGAAUGUCUUGCCAUGGUUCAGCGCUGGUUGGAUAAUGAGCCUCUAUGA